CAAUAGCGUAUAUUAAAGUUGUUGCAGUUAAAAAGCUCGUAGUUGGAUUUCUGGUGGGAGCGAUCGGUCUGGCGCUUAGCGCGAGUACUUGCAUCGUCUCCGGCCAUCCUUGGGGAGAGUCUGUCUGGCAUUAAGUUGUCGGGCAGAGGAUCCUCAUCGUUUACUGUGAAAAAAUUAGAGUGUUCAAAGCAGGCUUAUGCCGUUGAAUAUAUUAGCAUGGAAUAAUAAGAUAGGACUUUGGUACUAUUUUGUUGGUUUGCGCACCAAAGUAAUGAUUAAUAGGGACAGUUGGGGGUAUUCGUAUUCCGUUGUCAGAGGUGAAAUUCUUGGAUUUACGGAAGACGAACUACUGCGAAAGCAUUUACCAAGGAUGUAUUCAUUAA
rnacentral:rRNA from 1 species